GGCCGAGUGGCCUAAUGGUAAGGCGUUGCUUUCCGGUUGCGGAAGCCAGCAAAGAUUGCGCGUUCGAGUCGCGUCUUGGUCG
rfam:Aspergillus calidoustus genome assembly, contig: SCAF5